rnacentral:rRNA from 1 species
UACGGAGGAUCCGAGCGUUAUCCGGAUUUAUUGGGCGUAAAGGGAGCGUAGGCGGACUUUUAAGUGAGAUGUGAAAUACCCGGGCUCAACUUGGGUGCUGCAUUUCAAACUGGAAGUCUAGAGUGCAGGAGAGGAGAAUGGAAUUCCUAGUAUAGCGGUGAAAUGCGUAGAGAUUAGGAAGAACACCAGUGGCGAAGGCGAUUCUCUGGACUGUAACUGACGCUGAGGCUCGAAAGCGUGGGGAGCAAACAGGAUUAGAUACCCU